UAUGAGCUGUUUUAGCGGCGGACGGGUGAGUAACGCGUGAGGAACCUGCCUUUCAGAGGGGGACAACAGUUGGAAACGACUGCUAAUACCGCAUGAUAUAUAUUGAGGGCAUCCUUGAUAUAUCAAAGAUUUAUCGCUGUAAGAUGGGCUCGCGUAUGAUUAGAUAGUUGGUGAGGUAACGGCUCACCAAGUCGACGAUCAUUAGCCGGACUGAGAGGUUGAACGGCCACAUUGGGACUGAGAUACGGCCCAGACUCC
rnacentral:rRNA from 1 species